GUAAUUUUUUUCCGCCAUCCCUAUUUUUGCCUGAUACCUACAUGGAAUAAGCACUUUGUUGUUAUGCAAAGUGGAGAACCUUAUGGGAAAAAUAGAAAAUUCUUGUCAUUCAUGAAUUCUUCUUCAUCUCUCUACAUGUAAAUCUCAAAUACAAUGACUUUACAAUCUAUUUUUCAUAAACAACCUUCCAUUUUAAACACUUUUCUUGGUUUCUCAUCUUGAUUGAAUUAUGAUAUUUUUUUCUAGCAUAUUAACCCUAGAGAAGAAUACAAAAAAUAUUUGAAAGAUCUUGUUUUAAUAAUAAACUCCAUUGGAGAAGGAACAAUCCGAAUGAAACAUAAAAGUAGAAGGAGUAACAUUUCAUCAUUUCUAAAGCACUUUUUUGCAAUAUUUUUAUUAUUAUAGAAAAGAGAGAAGAAUAAUGAAUGAAAGGGAGGAGGAUCUGAGAGUUCCUCUAAUCUCUUUCCUGUUAUGUCUUUGUGUACUUAUUGGUGGAAUAUUUCUUUUUCUUUACCUAUUUGUGCCAAAUCUUUCCGAGCCAUGGUUUCCUCCAAUAGCAUUAAUAUUGAUUGGAUUCCCAUGGUUACUUUGGGUCCUAACAUACAUUUACACAUGCAUUAAGAGAUGUUUUGGAGUGAGCAGGAAUAAUACAGAUUCAAAUCGCCAAAUAUCUAGACGAGCAUCGACAAUGGCAAAUUCUAGAAUGGCCAGAAAUGCUUCAACAACAAAUGGAUCAAAUAAUGCUAAAGAAAAACAGGCACAACUUGGAUCUGCAUCUCUAAACUCCUCUCAUUGUAGCAAAAGUGAAGAUCCGUCUAUCACCUCCUCGCAAGAAAUUGAAAUGCCUUUAACCACAUCAGCUCCUUCAUGAUAUAUAAACACACACAUAUGUAUGAGUUAAUGACAAUAACCAAUGGGGUUCAUAGCUGCAUUUACCAGUUUAAACAUAAAUGUUCAAUUUUGAGGAUCAUUCUUACCAUGACAUUAAGGAGCUUUGCAGAUGAUAAUGGUGAAUGUAAGUAGAAAAUGCACAAAGAGAUUGGCUGUGUUAGUGCAUGUAAGGAUUGAAUCAGGAACAAAAAUACAAAAUAGCAUUGUUGUUCGCUCAUUUUGUCGCCUUCUAUUUUCUCUCCCCCUCAACUAUGUUGUUGAAUAUAUAUGUAGCAAUUUUUAUUUACCA